CAAUAGCGUAUAUUAAAGUUGUUGCAGUUAAAAAGCUCGUAGUUGGAUUUCUGGUCGGAAGCUCCUGUCCUCUGAUGAGCGUACAAGUGCGUCCUACCAUCCUUCUGUUAACCUUUAAGGCUUUCGCGGCUUUCUAGGGGCUCAGAUAUUUUACCUUGAGAAAAUUAGAGUGUUUCAGGCAGGCUAGCGCCGGAAUACAUUAGCAUGGAAUAAUGGAAUAGGACUUUUGCCUCUUCUGUUGGUCAUGAGGCUCGAGUAAUGAUUAAUAGGGAUAGUUGGGGGCAUUAGUACUUAACUGUCAGAGGUGAAAUUCUCGGAUUUGUUAAAGACUAACUUAUGCGAAAGCAUUUGCCAAAGAUGUUUUCAUUAA
rnacentral:rRNA from 1 species